UACGUAGGGGGCGAGCGUUGUCCGGAGUUACUGGGCGUAAAGAGCGUGUAGGCGGCCUGAAAGGUCAGCUGUGAAAACUCGAGGCUCAACCUCGAGACGUCGGUUGAAACCAUCUGGCUAGAGUCCGGAAGAGGAGUGUGGAAUUCCCGGUGUAGCGGUGAAAUGCGCAGAUAUCGGGAAGAACACCCGUGGCGAAGGCGGCACUCUGGGACGGUACUGACGCUGAGACGCGAAAGCGUGGGGAGCGAACAGG
rnacentral:rRNA from 1 species